UGAAUUGCAGAACUCCGUGAACCAAUGGCCUCUUGAACGUGCAUUGCGCUCUUGGGAUAUGCCUGAGAGCAUGUCUGCUUUCAGUGCUUCUACUUUCAUUUUCUGCUGCUCUUGUUAUCGGGAGCAGUGUUGCUGCAUGCUUCUGCAAAAGGCACUGGCAUGCUAAGUAUCAAGUUUUGCUUGCUGUUCUGACUGAUCAACAUCUCAUGUCGUUUCAGUUGGCGAAACAAAAGCUGAAGUGUGUUCUUAACACUUCCUAGCAUGAAGUCAGACAAGUGAACCCGCUGAACUUAAGCAUAUGGAUCCCCCCA
rnacentral:rRNA from 1 species